UACGGAGGGUGCAAGCGUUGCUCGGAAUUAUUGGGCGUAAAGCGUACGCAGGCGGCGCGACAAGUCGAGUGUGAAAUCCCGGGGCUCAACCCCGGACGUGCAUUCGAGACUGCCGUGCUUGAGUGCGGGAGAGGGAAGCGGAAUUCCUGGUGUAGAGGUGAAAUUCGUAGAUAUCAGGAGGAACACCGGUGGCGAAAGCGGCUUCCUGGCCCGACACUGACGCUCAUGUACGAAAGCGUGGGGAGCAAACAGG
rnacentral:rRNA from 1 species